rnacentral:tRNA from 1 species
GGGAUGUAGCUCAGUUGAUAGGGUGCUUGCCUUGCAUGUACAAGGUCCUGAGUUCAAUCUCCAGCCCCA